CCUACGGGUGGCAGCAGUGGGGAAUUUUGCGCAAUGGGGGAAACCCUGACGCAGCAACGCUGCGUGCGGGACGAAGGCCCUCGGGCUGUAAACCGCUUUCAGCAGGGAAGACAUCGACGGUACCUGCAGACGAAGCUGCGGCUAACUACGUGCCAGCAGCCGCGGUAAUACGUAGGGGGCGAGCGUUAUCCGGAUUCAUUGGGCGUAAAGCGCGCGUAGGCGGCCGCCUAAGCGGAACCUCUGACCCCGGGGCUCAACCUCGGGCCGGGUUCCGGACUGGGCGGCUCGAGUGCGGUAGAGGAGAGCGGAAUGCGCGGUGUAGCGGUGGAAUGCGCAGAUAUCGGGAAGAACACCGAUGGCGAAGGCAGCUCUCUGGGCCGUCACUGACGCUGAGGCGCGAAAGCUGGGGGAGCGAACAGGAUUAGAUACCCCUGUAGUC
rnacentral:rRNA from 1 species